CCAGACUCCUACGGGAGGCAGCAGUGAGGAAUAUUGGUCAAUGGGCGGGAGCCUGAACCAGCCAAGUCGCGUGAGGGAAGACGGUCCUAUGGAUUGUAAACCUCUUUAGGCGGGGAGCAAUGCCGGGCACGCGUGCCCGGAGGGAGAGUACCGCACGAAUAAGCAUCGGCUAACUCCGUGCCAGCAGCCGCGGUAAUACGUAGGUGGCAAGCGUUGUCCGGAUUUACUGGGUGUAAAGGGCGUGUAGCCGGGCUGACAAGUCAGAUGUGAAAUCCGGGGGCUCAACCCCCGAACUGCAUUUGAAACUGUUGGUCUUGAGUAUCGGAGAGGUAGGCGGAAUUCCCAGUGUAGCGGUGAAAUGCGUAGAUAUUAGGAGGAACACCAGUGGCGAAGGCGGUCUGCUGGACAGCAACUGACGCUGAGGCGCGAAAGCGUGGGGAGCAAACAGGAUUAGAUACCCGAGUAUC
rnacentral:rRNA from 1 species